UGUCGUCUUUACUCUUUUCGUCAUCGAAGAAUAGUUUCAUCUUGAUUGAGGAAGAAACUCGACAUACAUCCAUCGACGAUUCGGGAAACCCAAGCAGCAGUCUAAUCUUAACGAGCCGAGAUUCGCAUUUCGGCUUUUCAUUUGGAGGUACUCUUCACAGUCACUUGGCUCCACCGUUGGAUAUUUUGAUGAACCGUAGCAUCAAGGAUGCUCUUAUUGCAGAGUAAAAGUUCUUUCUUAGUCGCCCUGUAAGACUGCUUCAUUCUUUCUAUUUGCUUUCUCAGUGUUACAUUGACUGAUCUGACACAGGAUUAUUGGUAUAGCUGUCCACUAGCUUAAAAUCGGUCUCACUGAUCGUUUGGGUGUU